GUCCCUGUAGCGCAAUAGAUAGCGUGUUGAACUUCUAAUCCAAAGGUUGUGGGUUCAAAUCCCACUUGGGAUG
rnacentral:tRNA from 1 species